rnacentral:tRNA from 1 species
GGUGGCUCAGUGGUAGAGUGCUUGCUUUGCAUGCAUGAGGCCCUCAGUUCGAUCCUCAGCACCA